CAGUCGCCACGGUAAUACGGAGGAUCCAAGCGUUAUCCGGAAUCAUUGGGUUUAAAGGGUCCGUAGGCGGUCUUGUAAGUCAGUGGUGAAAGCCCAUCGCUCAACGGUGGAACGGCCAUUGAUACUGCAGGACUUGAAUUAUUGGGAAGUAACUAGAAUAUGUAGUGUAGCGGUGAAAUGCUUAGAGAUUACAUGGAAUACCAAUUGCGAAGGCAGGUUACUACCAAUUGAUUGACGCUGAUGGACGAAAGCGUGGGUAGCGAACAGGAUUAGAUACCCCAGUAGUCCCUGUCUCUUAUAC
rnacentral:rRNA from 1 species